rnacentral:lncRNA from 1 species
AGAUUCAUCAACUAUUAGGUUUUGCUUAAGUGGGUUUCUAUUGGGCUUCAAGGGGAGGCCGAGCUGGCCAUCGGCCAUUCCUACUGGGCUUUCAAGAGGAGGCUGAGCAAGCCUAGUAGGCCACGCCUGCUAUUGGCUGCAAUAGUUUUUUUAUUUAUUUCCUAAGGCCGAUUUAAGUUUUCUUAUUUUCCUAGAAUUUAAUUUUUUAUUAUUUAAAAUCAGCAUAUUUUAAGUAAUUUUAUGAUUAAUUUAAUUCAGGUAUAAGUUUAUGCUUUAUAUAUAUUUGUUCACUAAAAAUUAUUUAAGAUCCACCUUGUACUUUUAAGAUGGUCUCUAAUUAAAUAGAACCAACCGGAAAUUUUAUUUGUUUAUGCAAACGUUGGUUCAUUUGGUUUGGUCUUUUAGUUCCAAUGGAGGUCAUGGGUUCAAAGCCUUGCUACGGCAAACAUUUGAGUAGUUUUUGUUUUUUUAGAAAAAAAAAUCCCAGCAACAGUGGGCCGGCCUAUUGGGCUGUGAGAGCGCACGGAUGAGCCGACCAAGCGAAAUCAGGCUAAGAAAAAAAAUUGCAAAAAAAGAAAAAAAACUACCCACGUAGAAAUUAGACAUGCCAACAUAGAUAAGAGUAUUUUAAAUAUUUCUAAAAAUAUCUUUUGUCAUCUCCUAUUAGACUCCCUAGAACAAAAAAAACCCAGAAUGCUCAAACAAGCACCGGCAGUUCCAACGGAGGGUCGUGGGUUCAAAGCCUUGCUAUGACAAACAUUUGAGUAGUUUUUGUUUUUUUAGAAAAAAAAAUCCCAGCAACAGUGGGCCAGCCUAUUGGGCUGUGAGAGCGCACGGGUGGACCGACCAAGCGAAAUCAGGCUGAGAAUAAAAAUUGUGAAAAAAACUACCCAUGUGGAAAUUAGACAUGCCAACAUGGAUAAGAGUAUUUUAAAUAUUUCUAAAAAUAUUUUUUUUGACACCCAACUUAUGUAAAUUUUUUUGACAUUUAUAAAUUAGGUCUCAUGACAUAGUGAUAUUGUCAUAGUAUGAAAUUAGAAUAGUUCUAUGACAUUUAUUAUGACAUCCAGCUUUUUUAUGUCACUAGGUCAAAAUACCUAUUACAUAAUGUCAUAAUCUGGAUGUUAUAAUGACAUCACGGUCUAUUGUCAUACUAAAUAUGUCAAAAAAUCAUGCAUUUCUUGUAGUGUGAGCACUUCACCUGGGAGGUUAUCCAGAGUAUCGUAUUUAUUUUUUUACCACUAGGAGAAAGAGUGCAUAUGACUAACUGAAAGGUCCAAAUGGCUAGAGGGGGGGUGAAUAGCCUAUUUAAAAUUUCUACAAACUUCACUAAGCAAGAGAGUUAGUAAAACAAAUGGCGAAGCAAUUCUAGCACUAGCUCAACUAAGCUAUGCAAGCCACUUAUACAGACUAGUACAAGGCUAAACACUAAAGCACAACAACAAGAGAAGGCUAGUUACACUCCUAAACAAGAAGACUAAACUAAACAAGCUACACAACUAGCAAGAUAUACAAGUAAGUAAGGG